GAUGAAGAACGUAGCGAAAUGCGAUAAGUAAUGUGAAUUGCAGAAUUCAGUGUAUCAUCGAAUCUUUGAACGCACAUUGCGCCCGCCAGUAUUCUGGCGGGCAUGCCUGUUCGAGCGUCAUUUCAACCAUCAAGCCCCAGGCUUGUGUUGGGGACCUGCGGCUGCCGCAGGCCCUGAAAACCAGUGGCGGGCUCGCUGUCACACCGGGCGUAGUAGAUUUUAUCUCGCUCAGGGCGUGCUGCGGGUUCCGGCCGUUAAAAAGCCUUUUUUACCCAAGGUUGACCUCGGAUCAGGUAGGAAGACCCGCUGAACUUAAGCAUAUCAAUAAGCGGAGGA
rnacentral:misc_RNA from 1 species